rnacentral:ribozyme from 1 species
UUCUUGUUACGUAGCAUGCUACGUAACAUUGCGGAAACCAUUCAAAAGUCCAGCCUACGCUCCUUCGGGAGCUACGGCCGGCAAACAGUGUAAAACACGGCCAUAUGCUGGAACAUCCCUUGUAUCCUCACAUGCUGUAAGGCCUGAGGUGGGGAAAAUCAGCAGGAAAGAUCUCAUGUUUCCAUGAGAAAUCCUCAGAGACUCGACGCCGUGCCCCUAAAAGAUUUGGGGUGAAGGGAGAGUCCGAUCCCUGUGGCGACACAGGG